rnacentral:tRNA from 1 species
GAGUCCUUAGUUCAGUUGGCAGAACACCGGAUUCCAAAUCCGGAUGGUGAAGCAGGGAAUUCGAGCAGCAUGCU